UACGGAGGGUGCGAGCGUUGUCCGGAAUCACUGGGCGUAAAGGGCGCGUAGGUGGCUUUUCAAGCGCGCGGUGAAAGCCCGGGGCUCAACCCCGGGUCGGCCGUGCGGACUGGGAGGCUUGAGCACUGUAGGGGCGGGUGGAAUUCCGGGUGUAGCGGUGGAAUGCGUAGAUAUCGGGAGGAACACCAGUGGCGCAAGCGGCGGCCUGGGUAUGACCUGACACUGAGCCACGACGGCGUGGGGAGCAAACGGG
rnacentral:rRNA from 1 species